UCAGGUGGUUAUAGCACGAGGGUUCCACCUCUUCCCAUUCCGAACAGAGAAGUUAAGCCUCGUCACGCCGAUGGUACUGCGUAACAGUGGGAGAGUAGGUAGC
rnacentral:rRNA from 1 species